CCUACGGGUGGCAGCAGUCGAGAAUCAUUCACAAUGGGGGAAACCCUGAUGGUGCGACGCCGCGUGGGGGAAUGAAGGUCUUCGGAUUGUAAACCCCUGUCAUGUGGGAGCAAAUUAAAAAGAUCGUACCACAAGAGGCAGAGACGGCUAACUCUGUGCCAGCAGCCGCGGUAAUACAGAGGUCUCAAGCGUGGUUCGGAAUUACUGGGCGUAAGGCGUGCGGAGGCUGUUUCGUAAGUCGUGUGUGAAAGGCGCGGGCUCAACCCGCGGACGGCACAUGAUACUGCGAGACUAGAGUAAGGGAGGGGGAACCGGAAUUCUCGGUGUAGCAGUGAAAUGCGUAGAUAUCGAGAGGAACACUCGUGGCGAAGGCGGGUUACUGGACAUUAACUGACGCUGAGGCACGAAGGCCAGGGGAGCGAAAGGGAUUAGAUACCCCUGUAGUC
rnacentral:rRNA from 1 species